GUGGGGAAUCUUAGACAAUGGGGGAAACCCUGAUCUAGCCAUGCCGCGUGAGCGAUGAAGGCCUUAGGGUUGUAAAGCUCUUUCAGCUGGGAAGAUAAUGACUGUACCAGCAGAAGAAGCCCCGGCUAACUCCGUGCCAGCAGCCGCGGUAAUACGGAGGGGGCUAGCGUUGUUCGGAAUUACUGGGCGUAAAGCGCGCGUAGGCGGACUGAAAAGUUGGGGGUGAAAUCCCGGGGCUCAACCUCGGAACUGCCUUCAAAACUAUCAGUCUGGAGUUCGAGAGAGGUGAGUGGAAUGCCGAGUGUAGAGGUGAAAUGCGUAGAUAUUCGGAGGAACACCAGUGGCGAAGGCGGCUCACUGGCUCGAUACUGACGCUGAGGUGCGAAAGCGUGGGGAGCAAACAGGAUUAGAAACCCUGGUAGUCC
rnacentral:rRNA from 1 species